rnacentral:lncRNA from 14 species
CCCUACCCACCCCAGGGCUACUUAAGCCCUGAGCAGCCUCAGCUGAGUUUUCUCUCUGGGCUUUGCUCCUUUUGCUACCUCUGCCUUAAGCCAGGCCAGUGGCUGCUCUCCUCCUGUGCCAAGGCUCUUCUGCUUCAUCCCAGGCAAGAUGUGGGUGAGAAAAGGGCUGGAAGGAUCCAGGAUGGUGCAGCACAACCUGAAGGAAAAGCAGCAUCUGGGGCUCAGCGCCUUGAGAAGGUGCCACUGGGAAAAGCUUUUCCCUGCUCUCCAGUGCUCAAUACGAAGCUGUGGUGAGCUGACAAAGCUGCAAACACCAGGUUCCUUGGGGGAAGGAGUGAAUUGGAGCUGCCUCAGGAAGCAUCUCUCCCCCUUCCCUCCUGCCUCCGGAGGGGUGGAGGUGGCCGAGCAGGAGAGCAUGGAGCGCUGGGCUGGGAUAGCUUCCCAGCCCCGGGUGACUUCCCAGCAUCACGUCAUCUCUCCCCACUUGGAGAGGCUGAGUUCAUGUCUGGCCUCCCCAGGGCUGGGGAUUGCUCCUGGCCUGCCCUUAUCCCCUGCCCAGAUACCAGGGUGAUGGCCACCUCCAGCAUCUCGGCUGGGUUCAUAUUGCAGGUGGCACCGCAUCUGCCCUGGGUAUCUCUGUGGUGUGUAAUAAGGGUGUCCCAGGGCUCAUCCCAGAACCAGGGUGCAGCACUCACAGCCUCAAGUCCCCAUCCUGGCCGGCUGGGCUGAGGGGCUGGUGGCCUGGGGAUGCUUUCCCCAUGACUCAUGGCAUUCCUUGCAGGGCUGGAGGACACCGACAUUCCUCACUGCCCCUGCCCUCUGCCUGAACUCCACUGGCAAAGCCAACUUCCUCCUCCUGCGGAUGCUGGAGGUCCUCAGCCCCAUCACUGGGGCAGGCAGGCGGAGGCAGUGGGGUGCCCCUGGGCUCCAUGUGGCCUCUACAGAACCUGCAGGUUUCCUCUUGCUCUGCAGAGCCCCAGAGGAGAAUGGGCUCCCCCCAAGAACCCCAGUGCAGCCUUGGCCCCCUCAAGACCUGCCUGGCUCUGUGCCUCAGUUUCCCUCUGCUGGGUCAAAGGGAAGCAGCUCCAAUGCCAUGCAUAGAGGUAAGAGCAUCAGUGCACAGCAUUGCUUCUCCCCACCAGCUCUUCUUGGGAACACCCCAGUUGCUGCUUAGAUUUCGCCCUCCAAAUAAGACAUUUCACUUUCUCUUUUCAACCUGAGCCCUUUGAAUCCACACCAGGGGACCCUCGGGUGCCUCCUUCCACACAACCCU